rnacentral:rRNA from 1 species
GAUGAACGCUAGCGGCAGGCCUAACACAUGCAAGUCGAGGGAGAAGCCUUUCGGGGCAGAAACCGGCGCACGGGUGCGUAACGCGUAUGCAACCUACCUUUCACAGGGGGAUAGCCCGAAGAAAUUUGGAUUAAUACCCCAUAAUAUUGUUUGAUGGCAUCAUUGGACAAUUAAAACUGUGGUGGUGAAAGAUGGGCAUGCGUCCUAUUAGCUAGUUGGAGUGGUAACGGCACCCCAAGGCUACGAUAGGUAGGGGUCCUGAGAGGGAGAUCCCCCACACUGGUACUGAGACAGGGACCAGACUCCUACGGGAGGCAGCAGUGAGGAAUAUUGGUCAAUGGUCGGAAGACUGAACCAGCCAUGCCGCGUGCAGGAAGAAUGCCUUAUGGGUUGUAAACUGCUUUUAUAUGGGAAGAAUAAGGUGUACGUGUACAUUGAUGACG